rnacentral:lncRNA from 1 species
AUUUUUGCAUAUGAAAGAGGCCAGAACCCACAGGAAAAACUUCAAAACUUGACAUUUGCCAGAAUGUUUAAAAUUUGUUCAGAAAAGGUUAAAGCAACAAGUUUAGCCUUUGUGCAUGAAGACGCCUGGCCUGCUAGACGCGUUGCCCGUCCCUGCGUGGUGCUGUCCCAUGUCACUUGAACUGAUAGAGGGGCCUGUGCAAUCUCCUAAGGCCUGUGUUUCUGCCAUAUAUUUUAUUAUAAAUUACAAUCCACUCAUCCACCUGCCCUCCACCAGGAGUGGGCACCCCAUAAGGGUUUAGGCCACUUUGCAGAGGAUGGAGGUCAAAAACCACUCCCAGAUAAGUUUGGUUUUCAACAUUUAGUAACUUGUCUCAGGGCAGAGGGCAGGCAGGGGGACCGAGGGGCAGCAGAUAGGAGAGCACUGAGCCCGGAUAGUUCUCAGCCUGGCAAGUGGCUCUGAAGCUGCCUUCAGACAAGGCUAGUCUAGGGGCAAGAGUGCGAGCUGGCUGACAAUAAGAACGUGGCCACCUGCCCAGCUUCACACCUCCCCCGACUUCAGCCCUUCCUAAACCCAGACCUGCGGUCCAGGCAGGCACUGGGCUGUGCCCACUCGAGCUCACUGCCCACACACAGCAUGCCUUUGGGUGCCAUCUCUUUGCCCAAGCCUGGAAGCCUUGGCAGGUGGGAAAUGCCGCUGCCCUGGUGGGCAUGGCACUGAGAUGCAUCCACUCAGCAGGAGUGACAGAGGCAGAAGUUCCUUUAAAGCACAUCUUCCACUUAGGAAAGGAAGGAAAUCUUUGUACUGUCUUGGAAGCCUCCACAUCCGGCUAUGGCCCUGCAAGCUGCUUUAUCCCUGCGCUAGUCUCCCCCGAGGGUUUAGGCUGGCCCAGCACAUCCUGUCCUCCUGAGCUCGCGUGCAGCCACCCAGAGCGCAGGGGUCACUGCACGCUGCAGGGCUCUUGCUGCCAUGGUCUCAAGCCUGAAGAGGCUCCGCCCACAAGCUGGCCCAUGAAGUUAGCAAUGCCUGUGGCUUCAGUCAAUUGUCUUGAGACUGUGAAGAGGCUGAAAGACACCUUCCCGGGUGGAAGAAGGAGUUCACUGAAAACUUAUCUUAAACUGACCCUUCCCUUUGAGUGAGUCUUCAUUCCUCUCCCAUGUGGGAACCCAGCCUCCGAUGCCCCGGGGACUAGGGGAAACAGUUGGAGGUUCGUGCCGUCCCCAGCCUGCCACGGGUGCGAGGACAGCCAAGUCCUGAGUGACUCAAGAUGCUUCACUUACAUGGAAGAAACUUCUAAAACUCUACCGAGUGGUUUUUGUAUAUACUAAAGUUCUAUUUAGAGCUUUUCUGUUUUGGGCAAGUUCGCUGCUCCUUCUAUUUGGGCACUUUGGUUUUUGUACUGUCUUUUGUGACGGCAUUGAUUGAACAUUUUUUACUAGUAGUCUUAUGACUUUUGUAUUUUUUUUUUUUUUUGUAAUUUAUACCAACAACACUUUUAUCACUUUUUUUUUGUUGGGCUUCUGCAAAAUACAAGCUCAUUUUUAAACCAAAUGAACAGACCAUGAGCUGGCUUCAGGGGAAGUGCUAUUCACAGGACCAUAUCCACCACCCUCUUAAAUUCCUAAACAAUAUCAUCUAGGACUUCUAUUUAAGUUAUUUAAAAUAAAUCUUCCUUGAGAGCCUUGGGAGGUGAUGUCAGGGUUAUAAAUGGCACAGUGCAUUUGCUGUAGGAAUGUGGUUUGGCAUUGUUUUAUACACACAGUAUUUUUUAUACCUUAAUGCUUAUUCUUGAUGGCAUCUGUCAGAUAUUAGAAUUGAAAAUAAGAAUCUUCCCAAAAUCCUUUAAUUUACCUGAUGCCCUCAUCAGGUCGUUAAAAAUUCAAAUGGUUUUAAUAGCUAAAAAACUACAAAUUAAGCUCUAAAACAAACAAACUACAGAAAUGUAAACCUUCAUUUGCCAAAGGUCCUUGGUGGCCUGUCCCCUGCCCUGGGAGCAGAUGGCCCUGAAGCCCUUCCCUCACUGUGCAGGCCACCGGGUGAGGCUGGACGGUCACCCAUGGUGGCUUCACUGCAAGGAGCAGGACUGCCGAGCUCAAGCACGGGGCCUUCAGCUUCCCCUGUCCUCUGGCCACACCGCCAGCCCUUGGUCCUUAUCUGUGUGAGGUUUACAAAUAAAGCUUCUGAUGUC